CCUACGGGAGGCAGCAGUGAGGAAUAUUGGUCAAUGGACGAGAGUCUGAACCAGCCAAGUAGCGUGAAGGAUGACUGCCCUAUGGGUUGUAAACUUCUUUUAUAAAGGAAUAAAACGAGGCACGUGUGCCUUUUUGCAUGUACUUUAUGAAUAAGGAUCGGCUAACUCCGUGCCAGCAGCCGCGGUAAUACGGAGGAUCCGAGCGUUAUCCGGAUUUAUUGGGUUUAAAGGGAGCGUAGAUGGGUUGUUAAGUCAGUUGUGAAAGUUUGCGGCUCAACCGUAAAAUUGCAAUUGAUACUGGCAGUCUUGAGUACAGUUGAGGUAAGCGGAAUUCGUGGUGUAGCGGUGAAAUGCUUAGAUAUCACGAAGAACCCCGAUUGCGAAGGCAGCUUACUAAACUGUGACUGACAUUGAUGCUCGAAAGCGUGGGUAUCGAACAGGAUUAGAUACCCUAGUAGUC
rnacentral:rRNA from 1 species